UGGACUCCAGAACCUUUAGUGCCUCCAUCUGAUGAAAAUUUAAAUUUAAAAACAAGAACAAUAAGUGGCAAAGUUGGGAAAAUGGUAAUUGUGGACGGUAAGAAAUGUUUGAAUGCUGCAACUCAUAAUUAUUUAGGUUUGGUAGAGCAUCCUAAACUAGAGGAAGCCGCCUUACAAUGUUUAAGAAAAUACGGUGUGGGUUCUUGCGGACCUCGGGGCUUCUAUGGAACUGUUGGUAAUGUUCAAAACAAAACAAUUAUUUUAAACAAAAGAGACUGCUCUAUUAUAAAUCUAUAAUGCAUAUAGGA